rnacentral:lncRNA from 1 species
GUGGGCUAUCAGGAGUCCAGCCUGUCAGGCUGAAGUGGAGCUGGUGAGUGCAGAGACGCUGGCCCUGGGUAUCAGGGGGAGGCUGUGCUGGCCUGCCAGGAGUUGGUGUGAAUGUGUGUCUGCACUCAGUUGUGGUCCUGCCAUUCCCCCUUGUGACUUUCCUGCAGUGUACUGCAUCCUUUUUGGAAAUUUUGUGAGCUACUCAGAGUCUUUUCAGUACAUUAUUUUUCUGCUUAGAGCAUUCAGAACCUGUCUGUACAAUCGAGUUGUUUCCUGGGCUGGGGUUGUGGCUCAGUAGUAGAGCACUUGCCUGGCAUGCGUGCAGCCUGGGUUCAAUCCUCAGCACCACAUACAAAUAAAGAUGUUGUGUCCACCGAAAACUAA